GCCUGGAUAGCUCAGUCGGUAGAACAUGAGCCUUUUAAUCUGAGGGUCCGCGGUUCAAGUCCCUGGUCGGGCG